GCUUCGAUAACUCAGUUGGUAGAGUGCAGGUCUCAUACGAAAGUUUGAUCCUCUAAUUGGAGGAGUGAACCUGAGACAUCCUGAAGCCGCAAGUUCGAAACUUGCUCGGAGCA